GCUCCCGUAGCUCAGUGGAUAGAGCAUCUGCCUUCUAAGCAGAGGGUCGCAGGUUCGAGUCCUGCCGGGGGUA
rnacentral:tRNA from 1 species